rnacentral:tRNA from 1 species
GGUCCAUUGGUCAAGCGGUCAAGACGCCGCCCUCUCACGGCGGAAACAGGGGUUCGAUUCCCCUAUGGACUG